UACGUAGGGGGCUAGCGUUGUCCGGAAUCAUUGGGCGUAAAGCGCGUGUAGGCGGCCCGGUAAGUCCGCUGUGAAAGUCGGGGGCUCAACCCUCGAAAGCCGGUGGAUACUGUCGGGCUCGAGUGCGGAAGAGGCGAGUGGAAUUCCUGGUGUAACGGUGAAAUGCGCAGAUAUCAGGAAGAACACCUAUGGCGAAGGCAGCACUCUGGGACGGUACUGACGCUGAGACGCGAAAGCGUGGGGAGCGAACAGG
rnacentral:rRNA from 1 species